AUCAUCCACGACAGCGGUCCAGAGUCGCUGAGAUAACCGGAACUGCAGAUGCCGGAGAACCAAGAUAACACGAUGUGCAGCUGGAUGUGCACAGCAGGCCAAGCAGCAUCAGAGGGUCUAGAUCCUUUGCUGAGACCAAGAUUUGUGCAAUUGAGAUACCAGCGAUCGUUGCCAAAGCCCUGUUCCCUGUGGGGAAGGUGAUGUUUAACUUUCGUGUGCUGCUGCAGUUUGUAUGAUAAAGGUGCUCAAAUGGAGCAUUGUGAGAGAAGUUACAGAUCAUUCAUCUAGCGAUACCGAAGAGCUAAUGGUGAUAUUACAAGUGGACUUUCAGGUAGGAAGCUCAAUAAUUGUAACACCAAACUCUGACAGAAUUACUCAAUUCAUCAGGACCUGGAUAUUCGCAUUGUGUAUUUCCACAAUUUUACUUCUGCACUAUUCUUAGUCUUUCAGAGGGAUCGAAAGGUUGAGUUACAGAUCUAUACAAUGACUGUCCUUCCUCGCUGGCUUCCCCCACCUCUCUCUUUUGGUAGUUUUAUGCAAACACUGACUGGAUCCCUUACCUGGAGGAUAUUUAUGAAUGAAUUUGUUCUAAUGGUG